UACGUAGGGGGCCAGCGUUGUCCGGAAUCAUUGGGCGUAAAGAGCGUGUAGGCGGCCAUGUAGGUCCGAUGUGAAAACUCGAGGCUCAACCUCGAGACGUCGGCGGAAACCAUCUGGCUAGAGUCCGGAAGAGGAGAGUGGAAUUCCUGGUGUAGCGGUGAAAUGCGCAGAUAUCAGGAAGAACACCCGUGGCGAAGGCGGCUCUCUGGGACGGUACUGACGCUGAGACGCGAAAGCGUGGGGAGCGAACAGG
rnacentral:rRNA from 1 species